rnacentral:lncRNA from 1 species
CAACACUAAGGUCCUCUAUGCCUCAGUGGGUUAGUACUGUCAACACUAAGGUCCUCUAUGGCUCAGUAGGUUAGUACUGUCAACACUAAGGUCCUCUAUGGCUCAGUAGGUUAGUACUGUCAACACUAAGGUCCUCUAUGGCUCAGUAGGUUAGUACUGUCAACACUAAGGUCCUCUAUCAGUAGGUUAGUACUGUCAACACUAAGGUCCUCUAUGGCUCAGUAGGUUAGUACUGUCAACACUAAGGUCCUCUAUGUCUCAGUAGGUUAGUACUGUCAACACUAAGGUCCUCUAUGGCUCGGUAGGUUAUCACUGUCAACACUAAGGUCCUCUAUGGCUCAGUAGGUUAGUACUGUCAACACUAAGGUCCUCUAUGGCUCAGUAGGUUAGUACUGUCAACACUAAGGUCCUCUAUGGCUCAGGAUGGUGGUCUGUUUGAAACAUGUUGGUAUUACAGACUCGGUCAGCGAGUGGUUUGAAAAUGUCAGUGAAGACCAGUUUGCCAGUUUGUCCGCGCAAACUCUGAGUCCACGUUCCUGGUAAUCCGUCUGGCCCUGCGUCCUUGGGAAUGUUGACCUGUUUAAAAGUGUUGCUCACGUCGGCUACAGAGAGCGUGAUCACACAGUCAUCCGGAACAGCUUGUGCUCUCAUGCAUGCUUCAGUGUUGCUUGCCUCGAGGCGAACAUCAAAGGCAUUUAGCUCGUCUGGUAGGAUCGAUUCACUGGGCAGCUCGCGGCCGGGUCUCCCUUCGUCGUCCGUAAUAAUUUGCAAGCCCCCUGCCUCAUCCGACGAGCGUCAGAGACGAUUUCUUAUAAGCGUCCGGAUUAGUGUCGCGCUCCUUGAAAGCGGCAGCUCCUAGCCUUUAGCUCGACAGUAGUAGUGUCU